rnacentral:rRNA from 1 species
AUUGAACGCUGGCGGCAUGCCUUACACAUGCAAGUCGAACGGCAGCACGGGGGCAACCCUGGUGGCGAGUGGCGAACGGGUGAGUAAUACAUCGGAACGUGCCCGAUAGUGGGGGAUAGCUCGGCGAAAGCCGGAUUAAUACCGCAUACGACCUACGGGUGAAAGCGGGGGAUCGCAAGACCUCGCGCUAUCAGAGCGGCCGAUGUCAGAUUAGGUUGUUGGUGGGGUAAAGGCCUACCAAGCCGACGAUCUGUAGCUGGUCUGAGAGGACGACCAGCCACACUGGGACUGAGACACGGCCCAGACUCCUACGGGAGGCAGCAGUGGGGAAUUUUGGACAAUGGGCGAAAGCCUGAUCCAGCCAUGCCGCGUGCGGGAAGAAGGCCUCGG